rnacentral:rRNA from 1 species
UACGAAGGGGCUAGCGUUGCUCGGAAUCACUGGGCGUAAAGGGUGCGUAGGCGGGUCUUUAAGUCAGGGGUGAAAUCCUGGAGCUCAACUCCAGAACUGCCUUUGAUACUGAGGGGCUCGAGUCCGGGAGAGGUGAGUGGAACUGCGAGUGUAGAGGUGAAAUUCGUAGAUAUUGCAAGAACACCAGUGGCGAAGGCGGCUCACUGGCCCGGUACUGACGCUGAGGUGCGAAAGCGUGGGGAGCCAAACAGGG